GAUGAAGAACGUAGCGAAAUGCGAUAAGUAGUGUGAAUUGCAGAAUUCAGUGAAUCAUCGAAUCUUUGAACGCACAUUGCGCCCCUUGGUAUUCCAUGGGGCAUGCCUGUUCGAGCGUCAUUUGUACCUUCAAACUCUGCUUGGUGUUGGGUGUUUGUCUCGCCUCUGCGUGUAGACUCGCCUCAAAACAAUUGGCAGCCGGCGUAUUGAUUUCGGAGCGCAGUACAUCUCGCGCUUUGCACUCAUAACGACGACGUCCAAAAGUACAUUUUUACACUCUUGACCUCGGAUCAGGUAGGGAUACCCGCUGAACUUAAGCAUAUCAAUAAGCGGAGGA
rnacentral:misc_RNA from 1 species